rnacentral:rRNA from 1 species
CCUACGGGAGGCAGCAGUGGGGAAUAUUGCACAAUGGGGGAAACCCUGAUGCAGCGACGCCGCGUGAGUGAAGAAGUAAUUCGUUAUGUAAAGCUCUAUCAGCAGGGAAGAAAAUGACGGUACGUGAGUAAGAAGCACCGGCUAACUACGUGCCAGGAGCCGCGGUAAUACGUAGGGGGCAAGCGUUAUCCGGAUUUACUGGGCGUAAAGGGAGCGUAGACGGCAGUGCAAGUCUGGAGUGAAAGGCGGGGGCUCAACCCCCGGACUGCUCUGGAAACUGUACGGCUGGAGUGCAGGAGAGGUAAGUGGAAUUCCUAGUGUAGCGGUGAAAUGCGUAGAUAUUAGGAGGAACACCAGUGGCGAAGGCGGCUUACUGGACUGUAACUGACGUUGAGGCUCGAAAGCGUGGGGAGCAAACAGGAUUAGAUACCCGGGUAGUC